rnacentral:antisense_RNA from 1 species
UGUGGGAGCUGGCUUGCCUGCGAUGGCGGUGGGUCAGCCACUGUUGUUUUAGCUGACGGUCCGCUAUCGCAGGCAAGCCAGCUCCCACA